UUUCCGUAGGUGAACCUGCGGAAGGAUCUUUAUCGUACAAAAUGCGAGCAGCAUGCGAGGGAUGUCGCUGAACCUAGAGUCGUGCACGCCCGAGUGUGUCCUCUUGAAUAAUCAUCCAUCUCACCCUUUGUGCAUCACAUGGUGGGCACCCUUCGGGAUCAUCUCGGCGGAGGACUCGAGCUUUAACUCAAACCACCUUUUAAAAGUGUAGAAUGACCACAUAUAACGCAUCAAAACAACUUUCAACAACGGAUAUCUUCGGUCUCGCAUCAACGAAUA
rnacentral:misc_RNA from 1 species